rnacentral:rRNA from 1 species
CCAUAUGACCAUCUACAAUUCUUACAUGCGCGGUGACGUUGUGAGAAGUCAUUAAACCUUAUCAUUUAGAGGAAGGAGAAGUCGUAACAAGGUUUCCGUAGGUGAACCUGCGGAAGGAUCAUUGAACACACGAUCAAAAACAUUGACGAAUCUCCGCCUUCUCCUUCGGGACGGGUCCGCGAGGAUGCGUCUCCCGGGGAGAGGGUUAGAAACCUCCAAAAAACCGUCCCCGCGAACGGAACGGCAAGCUACAGGUGCCUGAGGGGACCCCACUGUGGAGGUGCGGUCGUCUACGGUGCGACUCUGGUAGUCCCGGAACCCUUGCCUCUCCCGGGAGGGGAGGUGUCCGGGAGUGCCGCCGCGGGUGCGACGCGGUAACGGGUUGCUCGUGGUCGGGACAUCCCGCUCGCGCGGCUCUCGAACGGGGGCUCUCCUUUGCCCAAGUGGCGAGGGGAGUCCCUUUCGGGAGUAGGAUGUAUCCCCCCUCCUCUCGGGGACCACCCGCCUCUCCGGGCGGGUUCCCCGGGAGCCUCGCCGGCUUGCCUUUCCGCGGUUGCGAGUCAGCCAAAAGCUCAACGAGGAACGCAUGUCGAAAGGCAACAAAUUAUCAAACGUAUGGACUCUCAGCAACGGAUAAUCUUGGCUCUUGCAACGAUGAAGAACGCAGCGAAAUGCGAUACCUAGUGUGAAUUGCAGAAUUCCGCGAAUCAUCGAGUUUUUGAACGCAAGUUGCGCCCGAGGCUCGUACCGAGGGCAUGCCUGUCUGAGCGUCCAUGGGGUCCCGCCCAUCCACCUCGUCGCAACGACGGGCUCGUAGGAUGGGCGCCGGGAUGGCCUAUGCGCGGACCAUCGAGUGGGCAACUCCACUCGACAGCGACCCGCUCGGCUGAAAUCCAAGUGUGUCCUGCGAGUCGGAGGGGGACGCUGCGAGAAGGUGCUCCGUUCCCGCGGAAGCGGGCGGCGGAUGUUCCAUCUACGCUGAUUGUGGGAUCGUGGUGGUGUCUCUCUCCAACGAGGGAGACCCGUCUCCGACUCACGAGAAGUCGUAGCCUGGUCGUAGCGGCGUCUCUCCCCGACGGAUCAGGGCUCAACGAAAGCGGGACUCGGGACGCCAGCCCCGAGUCUUCUCACGUCUUGGACCUCAGAUCAGGCAAGAUCACCCGCUGAGUUUAAGCAUAUCACUAAGCGGAGGAAAAGAAACUAACGAGAUUUCCUUAGUAA